CCUACGGGCGGCAGCAGUGGGGAAUAUUGGACAAUGGGGGGAACCCUGAUCCAGCCAUGCCGCGUGUGUGAAGAAGGCCCUCGGGUUGUAAAGCACUUUCAGUGAGGAAGAACGCCUGGUGGUUAAUACCCAUCAGGAAAGACAUCACUCACAGAAGAAGCACCGGCUAACUCCGUGCCAGCAGCUGCGGUAAUACGGAGGGUGCGAGCGUUAAUCGGAAUUACUGGGCGUAACGCGCGCGUAGGUGGCUUGAUAAGCCGGUUGUGAAAGCCCCGGGCUCAACCUGGGAACGGCAUCCGGAACUGUCAAGCUAGAGUGCAGGAGAGGAAGGUGGAAUUCCCGGUGUAGCGGUGAAAUGCGUAGAGAUCGGGAGGAAUACCAGUGGCGAAGGCGGCCUUCUGGACUGACACUGACACUGAGGUGCGAAAGCGUGGGUAGCAAACAGGAUUAGAUACCCGGGUAGUC
rnacentral:rRNA from 1 species